AACUUACUAAAUAUUUUGUCCAGCACUAUUACAUUGACAGAGUGAGUGAUUUGACUAUUUCUACUAAUUACCACAUAAUGAAAAGCAGCUGAAUAUGUCCAUUUUGCAACAGUUUUACACAACAUGUUAGCUGGUAGCUAGUAGCACUUACACCUGAUAUUAUUAUAAUGGUAAUUCUUACAAAACAUAUUUUGUCGGACCAUACACUCGUAAAAAAUAUACUUCUACGUUUUUGCCGUUUAAAAUGAUAAUUUUGGCCUUGUGAAUGUAAGCUAACGACUAUUAGCUUCAACGAGCCGAAGUCAGCCGAAGUUUAUCCUUCAACGAGCCGAAGUCAGCCGAAGUUUAUCCUUCAACGAGCCGAAGUCACGUGACACCAAUAGCAGAGUUACAGUGAGGUGAACUCUUGACCUUUACCUUAUUUUGCUUUGUCUAGGUUUAUCCCAUGCUUAAAUAAAAUGCUGAUCCAUGUAAAGUUUGGUGACCUGCAAAAGUAUGUGAAGUUGGAGGAAGUCGAAGGGCCGUUUGACUUUAAUCAGUUUCAUGAGAAAGUCAUUGAACAAUUUUGCCUGCCACCUGAUACCAAAGUUACAUACAAAGAUGCAACAGAUACUGAAGUUGACGAAGAAAUAUUCAGUGACCUCCUUAGACAAGGCAAUGUGGUACAGACAGUUUUCUGCUAUGAUGAGUUCUCAGAAUGGUCAUCUGCUUCUGACUCAAGCUUCAACUCAAAUGCAUCAACAUCAACAAUACUAAUGGAUGAGAUGCCACGCAAGAAGCAAAAAACUGAGAAUCCUGAUAACUCAGUGUCUGCUAAAAAUGUAACAAUAUUUUUUGUCUGCCUCUAAAUUCUGUUUUGUAUGCCCAGACAUGUUUUGUCAUAUUUUGGUCAUCUGCAUAUUGCAUA